AUAAAAAUUAUGGAAUAACAGUGCACUAUUUAGAUGAAACUCCUAAAUUAUGCAGGGUGUUACUUGAUUGUUUUGCGUUCAAUGAAAAUCACACUGCCGAAAAUAUCUCCCACGAAAUAAGGGUUUGUCAAGAGUGGGAAAUUGACAAUAACAUUGCCGCAAUUGUGACUGACAAUGCCGCUAAUAUGAUUUCAGCUGCGAGAUAUUUGCAUUUGCAAAGUGUUCCAUGUUUCGCUCACACCCUAAAUCUGGUUGUGCAAACUGAAAUAGCUAAAAUGAAAGAGCUGCAAACAAAAGUAAAAACAACAGUGGAAUAUUUUAAACGAAGUUCCCAUGCACUUUCAAAAUUAAAGGAAGUACAAAACCAAAUGGGUCGUCCAGAGCAGACUGUAAAACAAGACGUUCAAAUAAGUCGGAAUUCAACCCUGGCAAUGUUUGAAAGUGUAGUUAAGAGCAGGGUUGCUAUUGUUGUAACUUUAUCAAUAAUGAAUCCUGCAAUAGUAAUUACUAAUGAAGACUUUGAAAUACUCGAGUAAAUGUGCCAAAUUUUGAAGCCAUUUUUACAUAUCACUGAGAAUGCAAGAGUUUCUGUCAACAAAUUCGUACAACAAAGCAAAACAGUCUGUUAUACAAAAAGCUGCAGUAUUAAGAACAUCCAGCAUUGAUGAGGCAAAGCAGCCUGAAGAACAGGAACAAUCAGCAGACAUGGAAGAAGAUUGAUUUUAGGAAGGUUUUGACUCCAGUGUUCAACGGUCUUCGAGACAAACUAUUACACCCAUGACGUCUACAAUAAUACAAUUCGACAAGUAUAUCGAAAUUCAGCCUUCAGGAAGAAAAGCAGACCCUUUUAGAUGGUGGAGUGGACAUAUACUACACGAGACUGUACCAGCUCAUGUUAAGAAGUUUGUGUGUGGUGGGAAGCUUAGUUCCUUGUGAGCGUGUUUUUUCAAGGGCUGCAAAUACUCUCACAGACUAACGUCGUUAGGUUAGGUUAGGUUAGGUUAAUUGAGCCUAAACCUACGCCAUCUAGAAACAAGGCCACACAUCGUGAGUCUAAGGAGCCUGUGACAUCACGAGUAGGGGUCUGAGAAGCAGGUACCAACACACGUGAUUCGAAGCGUUUCCGUAUGGUACUUUGUGCUGAUCUUGAGUGGUUAUUUGGUCUAUACUCAGUUACAAUGCUCCGAAGGUGGUGUAUGCCUGCCGAUUCCAAGGACAAUUACAAUAAUGGAACUAAAGUCAGUUAUAAUGUACAAAUAUAUUAUCUUUAACUUGAGCACUGUUGCUCUAAACCAUUUCAUAACUAUUUACUCCAAGUAAUGUAAAUUUUUUUUACUUCUGAUGAAGGCUGCCUUAGAGCAGUUGAAACCUAGGUAAAGUUGAAAAUUUUUCACCUGUGCAGCCGAAGAGCUGUAUUUUCAAGUAAUAAUAUAAAUUUCGUCUACAGUUGCUGCAUUAUCGGCCAUGUUCAAAAUUGUGAAGUCAGUGUAUUUUAUUUUCCAUCUGACGAGAAGAAUUUAAGACGAAAAUGGUUAUCGGCUGUUCACAGAAAAGACUGGGCACCGAGUAAGCACUCUGUUAUAUGUGAACUGCAUUUUAACAAGGACGAUAUUUUAAGCAGUACCAGCACGUAUGACCCGAAAACUGAUACACUCUUGACAGCACCGUUGGAUUGUAAGAUGCUAUCCCACCGAAGUCCUCCUCAGGGGACACCGCCUUAACGUAGCACUGUCCGUGCGGGCGAGGAGGUUUGCGUGCUCCGGAUCCGGAGGGCUAUGCCGGCGGUAGCAUAGCUACCAGCAGGGUCACCCAUGCCGGACAGGCCAAAGGGGAGGGGCCAGACAAAGUGUGUCCCACAACGAUCUAUCGCUCCCCUUUCCUAUCCCAAACCUGUCCUCACCAUUUCCUUUUCCUGUCAUUCCCUGGUACAUGUACAAAAGAGCAGAAAGACCUCUAUAGGUGUGGAGAAGCCAAUCUUUCUACGGGAGAAAACCCCGAGUGAAAAAUCCUGGUCCUCCAGGUUGGGAGUUGGCGACGGGCUACCAACCCGAUCUGGAAAAAAUAAUCACUGGUACUAGCAUCACAGAAGAGCCUCGGAUAGUACUGAUCUCUGCAAAACAACCUAAGCAAGAACAAGGACUACGGAAGGAAAUACAACUAGGGACCUGGAAUGUCAGAAGCCUAUACCAACCUGGGGUAGUAAAAUGUGUAGUAAGGGAGGCAGAUAAGUAUCAAAUUGAUCUAUUGGCCCUGCAAGAAACAAGGUGGACAGAAACCAGAGCUACAGAAAUGGAAAACUACGUCAUAUUCCAUGGAGCCUCAGAAACAAACCACUCACUAGGAACUGGUUUUGCAGUGAAGAAAUCACUCUGUACCACUCUCCUAGAUUUUAAAUCAAUCAACCCCAGAAUCUCACUCCUAACCAUAGACACGGGAAAACACAAACUCACUCUCUAGACCCUAUAUUAAAAUGUAGAGGUGUCUCUCAACAACUAAAGCUACGGUUGUAUAAGACAUUAAUAAUGCCAGUAGUACUUUAUGGUUCUCAAACCUGGAGCACUCGAAAACAAGACCUUAAGCGACUGCUAACAUUUGAAAGGAAAGUCAUCAGGAAAAUAUUUGAACCAGUCAGAGAUCAGACUACUGGAGAAUGGAGAAGACGCCAUAACACUGAAUUAGAAGAGCUGUACAAGGAGCCUAACAUCUUGGGAGUGAUGAGAAGCAAAAUACUGCAAUGGGCUGGACAUGUUAGAAUGGAGGCAACAGGAUGGCCCAAAAUCACAAUGGACUGGAUCCCGUCAGGCAGCAGACCAGUGGGAAGACCUAGAAAGAGGUGGAUCAAUGGAAUGAGAGAAGACCUGUUGCAGCUGGGAGUCAUGGAAAACUGGAGACAGAUAGCAGAAGACAGAGACGGGUGGAGAGCUCUAACUGUGGUGGCGCGCGGUCGUCUGGGUCUGAUCGCGAGAAUUGAAUUGAACCCCAUCUAAUCUGGAUGCCCAUCUUACUUGUCGAGUCAUCAAACUGCAGUACGAGAGAACCUAAAAAUUCGUAGGGGACGUUUAGAAAAUCGUGCUCUUCAAAAUGCUAACCAAGAAAGUGUAGAUACACAUGCGAAAGUGAUUGAUGCGAUAUCGUUCGAUAGCUUAGAACAACUGAAAACAAAGCUGAGUGAAUGUAAGCAGCAUAACGACUGGGUAGUGAUAAAUCUGACAGUGUGAGCCUAGUGUUACUAAAGCAUAAUCCUUACCAAAGAAUUUUUUGCACAUAGUUAUAAACAGUGGUUUAUUACUUAGGGUCUUCACUAAUGAUAUUGAAGCGAAAUGUAUUGGCGAAAUUUCCCAUGAAAGUAAACAACAUACAGGUGGUAAGUGAUGUUCUUAAGGCAUUUAUCUUCUGUACAAUAGUUCUGAGGCUCCUGUAGCUAACAUUUUGCCUUUAAUUGACCAGUUAUUGCAAAAUUUAUUAGAAAAGUUGAAACGAAACUAAAUUUACAUUUUUUGAAGGAACAGAUUCCAUUUUUGAAGUGCAGAAGUUCAACUCAAUUUAGGUAUGAUACGAACUCUAUGAUAAUGUGGUCAUUAGUACACUCUAUUAGCCCACAUGCUUAUAAAUUUUUGAGGAACACUGAUAGUUUUUCUAUGCCUAGUCCUAACAUCCUUUAAAGGCUUUGUAGUAAACUCUCAACAAAUCCUGUCACUGAGCAACAGGGUGAUCAAUUUAUGAGCUACAUCACAAAUAAAGUAGGUACUUUAUCCUCAGAUGAUAUAACUGUGCUCCUGUUGAUGGACGAAAUUCAUCUGAAGUCUCAGAUUGGUUACAAAGUUGGAAAUGUUGUAGGAUGUGCCUUUAACACUGAUAAAUUUUUGUGUGUAACCAGUGCCUAUGUUUUUGUGGUUCAGAGCAUGGAAUCACUUUAAAGGAUGUGGUAUCUAUUCUGCCAGUUCGUACUAUUCAGGGUGAUUUUCUGUUCUCUUAAUUAGUCAUUCUUAAAUUAGAAGCAAUUGGAUUUGGGGUGGUUGGUAAAGUAGCAGACAAAAAUGCAAUUAAUAAGAAAGCAGUGUCUUAAGUUUUCUACGCUACCGGAUGUGAAAAUAAGUAUGAUCACCCUGUACAGUCUUCUCCAAAUCGCCCAUUGUAUUAUGGACACUGUCCAUAUUUUGAAGUGUAUCCGCAAUAACUGGUUUAACCAAACAAUUUGAAGGGAGGUUUGUCAUCUUUUGGAGCACUGUAAGAAUUGCACUCGAUAGAAAAAGAUGAACUACUGCAAUAUGGCAGUUCCUUAACUUUGAAGUCUCUAUUUCCUAACUCAAUUGCUUAAUUGAGCGCCAAAAUGUCAAGUUAGUGUUGCGUAUUUUCAAUGAUGUGACAGUUGUUGCUUUGGACACAUUUGGUUCAAAGAAAGCAAUUAACAACUGGGAAAGUACUGCAACAUUCGUAAAAAUAAUAAAUCAUUGGUGGGAUAUUGUAAAUGUAAAAACAUUACUCAAGGGGCACAGGUUAAGACAUACUUUCCAAGAACCUGUGACUACUAAUUCCCAUCACAUACAAGAAUUCUUACAGUGCUUCAUCUCAUGGUUAUGUUCUUGGGAAGAUUCUAGCGAUGAAAGAAAACUUACUCGAGAGACACAUAGCGCUUUGAAACACACAACUGCUGCUUUGAUCGACUUCAGUGACUACUGGCUUUCUGAGAAAAACAGAUCAAAUUUGCUGUUAGGAAAAGUACAGACAGUUCCGACGACAGGUUCAGUAAACACCGCCAGCUAUGUGGGGGAAAUUAUCAUGUUUCUCUAAGACAAGUUUUUGAAACUGAACAAAACCUAAGGGCACAGUCUAUGUUUUCCCUUGUGCUUCGGUCAAAAGUAGUUGGGGAUGUUGUUAUUAAGACCACUGAUAUUUUUUCUACUCAUACUGAAAUUCGGGGAUUAAAAGAAACAUCAAUACCAGAAUUUUUAAAUGUAGCAGUAGACGAAAACGAUGAUGGAAUAGAUGAGAAUACUUGGCCACCGUUGCAUUACAUAGCAGAUUACUGCUCACACCAAGCUACUUAAAAAGAAGUGGAUAUUUUAAGGUAUUCUUUACAACAGAUGGAAUGAAGCAUGGUGGUGAUUUGAUUAUGGUAAAAGACAGAGGAGAGUUGACAUAUCCUGCAGAUGAUGUAGUAGUGUGUGUGACAUAUGCCGAACUCUACAGAAAAUUCUGAAAGAUCAGGAAAUUUUAUUUUUAGAACAGGCAAAUCAGAGAAAUGUACUUGUGAAGGGAGCAUCCCACAACAUUCCCAGCAAUAUUUUUUAUGGGUUUCACUGUAAAAAUACACACUCACUUGAUUCAGUCAUGAAUUGCUUACCAAUUUGCUGUGCAAAUAUUUUGCUAAACAAUUUCACCAAAAGGAGAAAUGAUGAAACUACUGUUAAAAAAAUAACUGUGUGCAAAAGAUUGAAAAAAUGUUAAAUUAUACUUUGGUUGUACAUUUUCACUGUUUGGGGCUUGGGAAGAUGAUAUGAAAUAAAUGUUUAUUUCGAA